CUGGACAGCAGGAGCCUCAGGCAGGGCCAGACUGAGCAUGGGUGACCUGGCUGCCCUCUUCUGCCUUCUGCUGCUCUGGUGCCCAGGUGGCAGUGGCAGCCUGGAGCUGGCACAGUCUCCCGCCUUCCUGACUGUGUCUCCAGGAGAGAGCGCCUCCAUCACCUGCAGGGCCAGUCAGAGCGUCAGCGACUAUGUAACCUGGUACCAGCAGAAACCAGGCCAGGCUCCCACGAUUCUCAUCUAUGAUGCUGAUGACAGAUGGACUGGUGUCCCAGACCGUUUUGCUGGAAUACAGUCUGGGACAGAAUUCAUUCUCAAAAUCAGCAGGAUCAAGGCUGAGGAUGCCGCCAGCUAUUACUGCCAGCAGGGCUACGUAGUGCCUCCCACAGAGUGACAGGCCUGUGCAAAAACCCUCCUCCCAGGGGUGGUGCAGGGAGGUCACAGGGUGUUGACUGCUGCCCUCU